rnacentral:rRNA from 1 species
CCUACGGGGGGCAGCAGUGGGGAAUCUUCCGCAAUGGGCGAAAGCCUGACGGAGCAACGCCGCGUGAGUGAUGAAGGUUUUCGGACUGUAAAGCUCUGUUGUCAGGGACGAAUGCGCAGACUGUGAAUAAUUGUUUGCGUUGACGGUACCUGACGAGGAAGCCACGGCUAACUACGUGCCAGCAGCCGCGGUAAUACGUAGGUGGCAAGCGUUGUCCGGAAUUAUUGGGCGUAAAGAGCAUGUAGGCGGGCCUUUAAGUCCGACGUGAAAAUGCGGGGCUCAACCCCGUAUGGCGUUGGAAACUGUAGGUCUUGAGUGCAGGAGAGGAAAGGGGAAUUCCCAGUGUAGCGGUGAAAUGCGUAGAUAUUGGGAGGAACACCAGUGGCGAAGGCGCCUUUCUGGACUGUGUCUGACGCUGAGAUGCGAAAGCCAGGGUAGCAAACGGGCUUAGAUACCCCAGUAGUC